UUUGUCAGAUCUGCAAUCUUUUGCUUUUCUUUUCGUUCAAUCAACCUUGAUUUGCCACCACAGCUGUCCAAUUGUCCAGCCUCCAACGGUGAUCCACACAGAGAAUAUGAUUGCAGCCUCUAGGGUUUUCUCUUGUGCCAGCAAGAACAAUGAAAACCUUAAUGGACCUCAAACCCUAGUUAUGUAUUUAUAUAAACCCAAACAGGCUCGGCCCGGUCCGGUCCAAU
rnacentral:lncRNA from 1 species